GGAAUUUGUCAUGGCUGCUUCUGAGCUCCAUCCUGACUCUAGUGUCAACCGUGCAAUCAUUGAAAAGCUUUCUGUUAUCACUCCAUCAGCAGAGACAAGGCUUAAGGUUUUGAAGGAAAUUGCACAAGAAUAUAACUUGGAGUGGGAUUCUUCUAACACAGAAGCUGAGCUUGGUAAAAAGCAUGAAGAUCUUCUGGCUGGAUCAAAGCAAAUCGUAGCUGAAGCUGCACUUUCUCAAGCUCCUAUGAAAUUGAGCUCUCCUAAACCCUCACCUUCCAAUGGGGCAAGCCCUAUCAUCAAUACAGAUAGCAAGCAAGGAUCUCAGUAUCUUCAGCCUUCUAGCCCCAUGAGCAACAUGCCCUUGGUAGAUGCUAAUGAAAUUGAACCAACAAUCAGAAACCAUACUGCAGGCUCAGUUACUGAUGCUAAAAGAGGGACAACAUCACAGUCUUCUGAUGUCUUGGAGAGAGCUCGAG
rnacentral:misc_RNA from 1 species